ensembl:lncRNA
AGUGAGAGUGUUUAUAGUGACUUUGGAGGGGGGGGGGGGGAAAGUUUGACAAAGAAAACAUGUCAGAAAGCAGCACAAUGUGUGGGCCCUCCUGAGACAAACCCUCUGCCCUCACCCGUGGGCUUACUGCCGCGGCCCCUGGGGGCUGUUCUGCACUGCCCACUUCAGAGCCUGUCUGCCACUGUCAUCUGUCCAUAUUGGCUAUGGUACCAUGUUGGCACUACCAUGCUGUGUGAUGUACACCAUGUUGGAUCGACAGUUUUUGAUGAACUGUGUUGUUAUAGGGUGGGAGUGUAGGGUAGCAUAUGCUAGUAUAAUCCUAAAGACUACAAAUACAAUUUGGUUUACUAUCAUUUUCAGUCACAUUUUAUAGAAUGAAAGCGUUGCAAACGUAUUUAAGGGGAGAUUACCUUCUGGUUUCCGGUUACGAGACUCGUACUGAGUCAGUAAACCACAUUGUAAGUCUUCUGGUUAUUCUAAGAAUAUUCAGAUGCUGCCAAUGGCCAGUUUUAGUCUUGGGUGCCAGUCUACAAUGAGUGACUGUAUUUCCUGUUUGGUUCACAAUGUCAGUGUGUCAAACUCUGAAUGUAUUUCAAAACUACCAAACGCGAGGGGUUAUAGAAUGAGAUUUACUGAGUUGUUGUUUCAGUUUGACUAGCUGUCUCUGACAACAUCUUUGACCUGCCUGUGUCACUCACACAGGCACAAAUGUUGCCUAUAACGCAACCAAAUAUAUUUCGCUCCUGUCAUUUUAUAUGAAAAUCUUCAAUUCAGCACAAUUGUCCAGGUUAAACGUAGUCAUUUUGCAAAAGUAAGUAGUUUUCCUUACUGAAUUCUGCAAUUCUUUCUGUGUUUUCCACAUGACGGAAACCAUAGGGGGCCUAUGUAUGUUAGUGUUGCAGUGUGGGUGGGAGUGCCUGUCUGGGUCCUGGAGCGAUGGUAAUGUGUGGAUAUUAAUGCAGAGGUCCUCUAAGAAAGUGUUCUGCUGUCUUCAAGACAGAGAGAUCCUUUCCGGUUCUAUUAUCACAGGGAGCGACAGAGGAAAGGAGAGAGACAGACCAAAGGGGUGAGAGAGGAGGAGUGAGAGAGUGAGAGAGAGAGUGAGAGAGAGAAUGAGAGAGAGUGAGAGAGAGUGAGAGAGAGUGAGAGUGAGGAAGUGAGUGAGAGUGAGUGAG